GGAUGUGAGAGUGAUCUGGUUGCCACAUCUGUCACCCUGUUGAUCGCUAGGGUUGAUACAGCUACUCUGGGUGGUGGGUGUCCCCUUCCUCCCUCACCGCUCCAUGUGCAUCCCUCCGGAUGCUGCGUGCUCAGAGAGAAUGACCUUCCCCACCCUCUCCGAAUUGUCAGGGGUGUACGAGUAGGUGCGCUCCCCUGCUAGAACCUCCAGACAAGCUCUCAAAGUCCAUUUGUAGGAGAACAUAGGGUAGUCAAGCUUCCAAGACCUUAGACACGUCCAAAUAAAGCAUUACAUGUGGCAGUUCGCCUUUCUUU
rnacentral:snRNA from 2 species